rnacentral:rRNA from 1 species
AGAAUCAACGCUGGCGGCGUGCCUAACACAUGCAAGUCGCACGAGAAAGGGGCUUCGGCCCUGAGUAAAGUGGCGCACGGGUGAGUAACACGUGAAUUAUCUACCUCCGAGUGGGGAAUAACUGAGAGAAAUCUUAGCUAAUACCGCAUAACACUUACGAGUCAAAGCAGCAAUGCGCUUGGAGAGGAGUUCGCGGCCGAUUAGUUAGUUGGCGGGGUAAUGGCCCACCAAGACGAUGAUCGGUAUCCGGCCUGAGAGGGCGCACGGACACACUGGAACUGAAACACGGUCCAGACUCCUACGGGAGGCAGCAGUGGGGAAUUUUGCGCAAUGGGGGAAACCCUGACGCAGCAACGCCGCGUGGAGGAUGACAUAUCUUGGUAUGUAAACUCCUUUCGAUGGGGAAGAUUAUGACGGUACCCAUAGAAGAAGCCCCGGCUAACUUCGUGCCAGCAGCCGC